AACGAACGCUGGCGGCAGGCCUAACACAUGCAAGUCGAGCGAACCCUUCGGGGUUAGCGGCGGACGGGUUAGUAACGCGUGGGAAUAUACCCUUUGGUACGGAAUAGCCUCGGGAAACUGAGAGUAAUACCGUAUGUGCCCUUCGGGGAAAGGAUUAUCGCCAAGGAUUAGCCCGCGUUGGAUUAGAUAGUUGGUGGGGUAAGUGGCCUACCAAGUCUACGAUCCAUAGCUGGUUUGAGAGGAUGAUCAGCAACACUGGGACUGAGACACGGCCCAGACUCCUACGGGAGGCAGCAGUGGGGAAUCUUAGACAAUGGGCGCAAGCCUGAUCUAGCCAUGCCGCGUGAGCGAUGAAGGCCUUAGGGUUGUAAAGCUCUUUCAGGGGGGAAGGAUAAUGACUGUACCCCCACGAAGAAGCCCCGGCUAACUCCGUCG
rnacentral:rRNA from 1 species